UACGUAGGGGGCAAGCGUUGUCCGGAUUUAUUGGGCGUAAAGAGCGUGUAGGCGGCCAGGUAGGUCCGUUGUGAAAACUGGAGGCUUAACCUCCAGCUGUCGAUGGAAACCAUCUGGCUAGAGUCCGGAAGAGGAGAGUGGAAUUCCUGGUGUAGCGGUGAAAUGCGCAGAUAUCAGGAAGAACACCCGUGGCGAAGGCGGCUCUCUGGGCCGGUACUGACGCUGAGGAGCGAAAGCGUGGGGAGCAAACAGG
rnacentral:rRNA from 1 species